UCCGGUGUGGUGUAUCGGUUAUCAUUCCGCGUUUUCAAUUGUUCUGCAAUAAAUUGCGCCGCGGCGAGCGGGGUUCGACUCCCCGCACCGGAG